rnacentral:rRNA from 1 species
GUCUCCGGACAUAUCAGCUUGAAGGCGCCCGAUCUCCUCUGCUCUCCGAAGCUAAGCAGGUCUGGGCCUGGUUAGCAUCUUGGAUGGGAGACCACCUGGGAAUCUCGGGUGCUGGAGGCU